rnacentral:rRNA from 1 species
AUCUCUGUAGAGUCUGCAUAUCAAUAAGCGGAGGAAAAGAAACUAACUAGGAUUCCCUCAGUAACGGCGAGUGAAGCGGGAAGAGCUCAAAUUUGAAAUCUUCAAGGUUCUACCUUGACGAAUUGUAGUUUAAAGAAGUGUUUUCUGUUAGAUGAGUUCGGUAAAAGUUCUUUGGAAUAGGACAUCAUAGAGGGUGAGAAUCCCGUAUUUGACCGUUAUUAUUCUAGCUGUGUGAUACACUUUCAAAGAGUCGGAUUGUGUGGGAAUGCAGUCCAAAGUGGGUGGUAAAUUUCAUCUAAAGCUAAAUACUGGCGAGAGACCGAUAGUGAACAAGUACCGUGAGGGAAAGAUGAAGAGAACUUUGAAAAGAGAGUUAAACAGUACGUGAAAUUGUCAAAAGGGAAGCGUUUGACACCAGUGUUGUUUUCUCGAAAAUCAAUUAAAAAAGGCAGGAUUUUGUGUUGUAUUGACUUUAUCAGCUUUCUGCACUCUUUUCUUGUCUUUUUUUAAUGCACUUUUCGUUUAACAAGUCAACAUCAAUUUCUUUUGUUGUAAAAGGGUCAUUGGAAGGUGGCUUUCUUUUCGGAGAAAGUGUUUAUAGCCUUUGGCCUCUGCAAUCGGAGAGAUUGAGGUCUGCAGCGUAGAUCCUUCGGGGUUAGAUACAUUUGUGCUAAGUUAUAGCCUUUCAUAGACAACUUGUUGACUAUGAUCAGUCAUGUAGCUUACUCGCUUAUGCUAUUUUACCUACGCUUAGGAUGUUGAUAGUCACAGCGUGUAC